rnacentral:rRNA from 1 species
CUACGGGGGGCAGCAGUGGGGAAUUUUGGACAAUGGGCGCAAGCCUGAUCCAGCAAUGCCGCGUGCAGGAAGAAGGCCUUCGGGUUGUAAACUGGUUUUGUACGGAGCGAAAAGGCUCUCUCUAAUACAGGGGGUCCAUGACGGUACCGUAAGAAUAAGCACCGGCUAACUACGUGCCAGCAGCCGCGGUAAUACGCAGGGUGCGAGCGUUAAUCGGAAUUACUGGGCGUAAAGCGUGCGCAGGCGGUUUUGUAAGACAGGCGUGAAAUCCCCGGGCUCAACCUGGGAAUGGCGCUUGUGACUGCAAGGCUAGAGGGCGGCAGAGGGGGAUGGAAUUCCGCGUGUAGCAGUGAAAUGCGUAGAUAUGCGGAGGAACACCGAUGGCGAAGGCAAUCCCCUGGGCCUGCACUGACGCUCAUGCACGAAAGCGUGGGGAGCAAACAGGAUUAGAUACCCCGGUAGUC